GGAUUAGACCCGAAACCGAGUGAUCUAGCCAUGAGCAGGUUGAAGGUGCAGUAACAUGCACUGAAGGCCGAACCCGCAUCUGUUGCAAUAGAUUGGGAUGACUUGUGGCUAGGGGUGAAAGGCCAAUCAAACUCGGAAAUAGCUGGUUCUCCGCGAAAUCUAUUUAGGUAGAGCGUCGACCGAAUACCCUCGGGGGUAGAGCACUGGAUGGGCU
rnacentral:rRNA from 1 species